GGUAAGAUGGCUGAGUGUGUUAAGCGGUGGAUUGUAGCCCCAUGCAGAGAGGUUCAAGCCCUCUUCUUACCA
rnacentral:tRNA from 1 species